rnacentral:lncRNA from 1 species
CGAACUAGUAAACUAGAUGAUUUACCUCCUCAGUGCGAUACUAAUUAUUACUAGGUGUCAAAACCACUAAAACUAUUACAAAUUUGAGCACUAUGACUAGCUAUUUGUGGUUUCUCUUCUCGUAUGAUGGGCCCUGUCCAAAUGGAUUCAAAACAACAAAUAUAUAUAGGUGUAGGAUGUAAAUAAAUACUAGAUAUGAAAUGAAACUCAAAUUAAUUCGAGUAGAUCUCACCAAUACAUUGCUGAAGUUUGCUAGAUCUAUCAAC